UACGUAGGCAGCGAGUGUUGUUCGGAAUUACUGGGCGUAAAGAGUGUGUAGGCGGUGCUCUAAGUUCGGUGUGAAAUCUCCUGGCUCAACUGGGAGGGUGCGCCGGAAACUGGAGUGCUUGAGCGUGGGAGAGGAAAGCAGAAUUCCUGGUGUAGCGGUGAAAUGCGUAGAUAUCAGGAGGAACACCUGUGGUGUAGACGGCUUUCUGGACCAUAGCUGACGCUGAGACACGAAAGCGUGGGUAGCAAACAGG
rnacentral:rRNA from 1 species